rnacentral:rRNA from 1 species
GAUGAACGCUGGCGGCGUGCCUAAUACAUGCAAGUCGAGCGAACAGACGAGGAGCUUGCUCCUCUGACGUUAGCGGCGGACGGGUGAGUAACACGUGGAUAACCUACCUAUAAGACUGAGAUAACUUCGGGAAACCGGAGCUAAUACCGGAUAAUAUAUUGAACCGCAUGGUUCAAUAGUGAAAGACGGUUUUGCUGUCACUUAUAGAUGGAUCCGCGCCGCAUUAGCUAGUUGGUAAGGUAACGGCUUACCAAGGCAUCGAUGCGUAGCCGACCUGAGAGGGUGAUCGGCCACACUGGAACUGAGACACGGUCCAGACUCCUACGGGAGGCAGCAGUAGGGAAUCUUCCGCAAUGGGCGAAAGCCUGACGGAGCAACGCCGCGUGAGUGAUGAAGGUCUUCGGAUCGUAAAACUCUGUUAUUAGGGAAGAACAAAUGUGUAAGUAACUAUGCACGUCUUGACGAUACCUAAUCAGAAAGCCACGGCUAACUACGUG